GUUCGCCCGUUAAAGCGGUACGCGAGCUGGGUUCAGAGCGUCGUAAGACAGCAAACAUGACCGUUACUGUCUAUAAAUCUAGCUAUAUGCUGGAAACUCCGAGUAUCUUGUGCUACUUAAUAUAAAUUAAGUGAUAAAGCAUCAAGUGCGGACAAUCAGCAGGCAACUAGAAAGAAAACUCUUUCUAGCGCCUCAGAGACUAUACGUUAGACUCUAUUUCACCCCAUUGAAGGGAUAAAGAUAUAGUCUAAUUCCAUAAGUAAUUAUGGG
rfam:Candidatus Levybacteria bacterium RBG_16_35_11 RBG_16_scaffold_14837, whole genome shotgun sequence.